rnacentral:rRNA from 1 species
UGGUAAUGCCGGAUGCUCCAGUUGAUCGCAUGGUCUUCUGGGAAAGCUUUCGCGGUAUGGGAUGGGGUCGCGUCCUAUCAGCUUGACGGCGGGGUAACGGCCCACCGUGGCUUCGACGGGUAGCCGGCCUGAGAGGGCGACCGGCCACAUUGGGACUGAGAUACGGCCCAGACUCCUACGGGAGGCAGCAGUGGGGAAUAUUGCACAAUGGGCGCAAGCCUGAUGCAGCGACGCCGCGUGAGGGAUGGAGGCCUUCGGGUUGUAAACCUCUUUUAUCGGGGAGCAAGCGAGAGUGAGUUUACCCGUUGAAUAAGCACCGGCUAACUACGUGCCAGCAGCCGCGGUAAUACGUAGGGUGCAAGCGUUAUCCGGAAUUAUUGGGCGUAAAGGGCUCGUAGGCGGUUCGUCGCGUCCGGUGUGAAAGUCCAUCGCUUAACGGUGGAUCCGCGCCGGGUACGGGCGGGCUUGAGUGCGGUAGGGGAGACUGGA